AUCCGUCAGUUCUAGCAAGGAAGCAAGAGGGGCAAGAGGAAGCCGUGCUGGGUUUCAUGGGAUGUAUGCUCUACACCAAAAUCAUUGGAAGGCCUCGGCUUUAAGGACAUCAAAUUAUUCAAUCUGUCGCUCUUGGCAAGACAAGCAUGACGCUUGAUUGAGGGGCCUUCGACACUGAGUGCAAGGAUACUAAUGGCCAUGUACUACCCCUCGAUUCCUUUCUUAGAUUCUGAGUUGGGAGCUUAUCCCUCGCUGAUUUGGAGGGCGAUCCUGGAUGGGCGAGAUGUUAUUGCACAAGGCAUCAUUAAAAGGAUUGGAAUGGGCGAGAACACCAACAUGUGGACGCAAAACUGGCUGCCUAGGUCGGGCAUGAUGAGACCGGUCGCUUCCCUGGUGACCAGCUCACUACAACAUGUCUCGGACCUCAUAGAUGCUUCUUCAAGUGCAUGGCGGGAGGAGGAGCUGAGGAGAAUCUUUAUUCCAAUCGACGUGGAAGUCACACUAUCUAUCCCACUGUGUACGAAGAGGAUCGACGAUUUUUGGGCUUGGGGUGAAGAUCACCAGGAAUAG
rnacentral:rRNA from 1 species